rnacentral:tRNA from 1 species
AAGAUUUUAAGUUAAUAAAAACUAUUAUCCUUCAAAGUUAAAAAUAAAUGAAGCAUUUAAAUCUUA